UUCUUCCUUUCUUCGAAACACACCCUUCUCUUCCUUGAAACAAUGUCUUAAAAGCGAAAACCCUAACACAUAGCUCAUCAUCCUAACGGCGGCGGCACGCUUCACCUAACAUAGAGCUCAUCGCCGGUGCUCUCACUCUCUCCCCCAAUAACACUCGUUGAUCAACCUCGUUCCAACCCUCUCUAGCAACCCCUCCGUAGGUGCCACCUCUGCCGGUGUUCCCUGUGUCGGCGCUCCUUCUGUUUCUCCUGUAAACACCUAUCCCUCCUUCGGCGGUGACUCACUCUAGUAAGGCCUCCCUCGGCGCUCACUCUCUAUCGCAAACCCUCCGUCGACGCUCACUCUCUCUCGCAAACUCUCAAUCGUCACUCCUCCCUCCAUGGUUCAGCACCCGCCGUGUUGCCUUCUCCCUCUCUGAAGUCGUCGUGCCGCCGUCUCCAUCUCCUUCACUCGUCGCACCUCCGUCAGCCACGUUCAGCGUUCGCAGCACCGUGGACAUUCAAGAGGCUCAUGGGGCAAAUAGUUCCUGUAUUUGGUGUUGAUUGUGCAUCAGGAGAUACUUUUACUGAUGGAUCAGUUAAAUACACAAUGACUUCCAUAAAUGUUCCUGAACCUGUAAUGUCAUUAGCUAUAUAGCCAGUUUCAAAAGAUUCUGGAGGGCAAUUUUCAAAAGCUUUGAAUCGCUUCCAGAAAGAGGAUCCUACAUUCCGUGUUGGUUUAGACCCAGAGAGUGGGCAGGUAUAUUGAACCACUUCCGGCAGGAUCAUCAACUAAAUUUGAAUUUGAAAACCUCCUUGUUGGGCAAGCUAUUCCAUCAGGUUUUAUCCCUGCAAUUGAAAAAGGUUUUAAGGAAGCCGCCAACUCGUGAGUGAAAUUUUCAUCAUUGACCAUGAAUGUACUAAAGACCAUCGAUAAAGGAGGGCUUUAAUUGGACAUCCUGUUGAAAAUCGUAGAGUUGUCUUGACAGAUGGUGCUACUCAUGCUGUUGAUUCUAGUUAACUUGCAUUUAAGUUGGCUUCUAUCUAUGCUUUCAGACAGUGCUAUACAGCUUCCAGGCCAGUUAUAUUAGAACUUGUUAUUCUUGUUGAGCUGAAAGUACCAACAGAAUUCCAAGGAGCCGUUGCUGGUGACAUUAACAAGAGAAAAGGUGUUAUUGUUGGCAGUGAUCAGGAAGGAGAUGACUCUAUCAUCACUGCCCAUUUUGUCAAUUUCAAUUCUUAUUCCUUUCCCCUCGUGCUAUGGUUGUUGAUUCAAUACAAACUCUUGAUCCUAUUAACACUUGGCCAGACAAAAAGGCCUAUAAUGAGACACUCUUGAAGCUUGCUGGGUUGUUUCAGAGGAAUCUUGAGACAUUCACCAAUCACAAGAUUGGCAAGGACAACAAACACACUGAAGAGAUUUUGGCAGCUGGACCAGUGUUUUAAAAAUGGAGAAUGCAUGCUGUGUUAAAGUGGGGGUGGCUGGGAUUCAAGAUUAUUAUUAUUAAGAAAUAUAUAUAUGGCUUAAUAGACAUAUAUAUAUUGCAUUUCUAAUAAUAAUUUUGAUUUCAUUGGUUUGGUUUUAGGCAUAUGUAAAGUUGGAGUGUUGUUACAUUUAUAAAUUUUUCACAUGAAUGGAAUUCACUGCUUCUCA